rnacentral:rRNA from 1 species
GACGAACGCUGGCGGCGUGCCUAAUACAUGCAAGUAGAACGCACAGUUUAUACCGUAGCUUGCUACACCAGAGACUGUGAGUUGCGAACGGGUGAGUAACGCGUAGCUAACCUGCCUGGUAGCGGGGGAUAACUAUUGGAAACGAUAGCUAAUACCGCAUAAUAUUAAUUAUUGCAUGAUAAUUAAUUGAAAGGUGCAAUUGCACCACUACCAGAUAGACCUGCGUUGUAUUAGUUAGUAGGUGAGGUAACGGCGCACCUAGGCGACGAUACAGAGCCGACCUGCGAGGGUGAGUGGCCACACUGGGACUGAGACCGGGCCCAGAGUCAUACGGGAGGCAGCCGUAGGGAAUCUUCGGGAAUGGGCGAAAGUCUGAACGAGCAACGCCGCGUGAGUGUAGAAGGUUUUCGGGUGGUAAAGCUCUGUUGUAAGAGAAGAACGCGUGUGAGAGUGGAAAGUUCACACUGUGACGGUAUCUUACCAGAAAGGGACGGCUAACUACGUG